rnacentral:rRNA from 1 species
GUGAGUAGUUCUAGAGUUUGAUCCUGGCUCAGGAUGAACGCUGGCGGCGUGCUUAACGCAUGCAAGUCGAACGAAGCACUUACCAAGGAUUCUUUCGGGAUGACUAAUAAGUGACUGAGUGGCGGACGGGUGAGUAACGCGUGGGUAACCUACCUCACACAGGGGGAUAACAGUUAGAAAUGACUGCUAAUACCGCAUAAGCGCACGGUGCUGCAUGGCACAGUGUGAAAAACUCCGGUGGUGUGAGAUGGACCCGCGUCUGAUUAGCUGGUUGGUGAGGUAACGGCUCACCAAGGCGACGAUCAGUAGCCGACCUGAGAGGGUGACCGGCCACAUUGGGACUGAGACACGGCCCAA